UACGAAGGGUGCAAACGUUGCUCGGAAUUAUUGGGCGUAAAGCGCACGUAGGCGGCUUUGCAAGUCCCAUGUGAAAUCCCACGGCUCAACCGUGGAAGUGCAUGGGGAACUGCAGAGCUUGAGUACUUAAGAGGAUCGCGGAAUUCCCGGUGUAGAGGUGAAAUUCGUAGAUAUCGGGAGGAACACCAGUGGCGAAGGCGGCGAUCUGGGAAGAUACUGACGCUGAGGAGCGAAGGCGUGGGGAGCGAACAGG
rnacentral:rRNA from 1 species